AUGACAUCAAGACGAGAUUUUAACCCAUUCUUAAGUACUUGUGCCGCGGGAAAGUCUUUGAAUCUUCCCAUGGAUCAAGUAUUUAAUAUCGGGAUUAUUCGAUCUUCAGACAAAUGGC
rnacentral:pre_miRNA from 10 species